UUGGUGUUCAAUGCUAUACCCUCUAAAAAAUGGAACGUCAUUUAUUUGAAGACACAAUUCUCUGUAUGUGCACUUGCCAUGACUUUAUUUUUGAAUAUUUCUGUGUGCAUGUGGUAGGGAAAACAUUGUUGUAUACUACAAAUUCAGUGUUUUGCUUAUAGGUUGGAGACUACAUGAGAUUUUGACAGAUGGCGGGAAACCCUCAUCAACUGGAGAUCAGCCGGUAGAGGAAUGUCUGCGACUAAGCCGAGGGCCACUUCAUAAGGGUUAUUGAUGGCAAAACAGGUUGGAGACUACAUGAGAUUUUGACAGAUGGCGGGAAACCCUCAUCAACUGGAGAUCAGCCGGUAAAAAGGUGGCCUUUAAACAGUGACCGUUGAUUCGCG